rnacentral:misc_RNA from 1 species
GCAAACUUGGUCAUUUAGAGGAAGUAAAAGUCGUAACAAGGUUUCCGUAGGUGAACCUGCGGAAGGAUCAUUAUCGAAAUGGACAGAGGGACCGUCGCCCGGCCCGCGCAAGCUUCUCGCUUGAUGCGGCCGUUAAAGGGAGGCGCCCUCGAACCAAACCCAUCCAACCCAUGUGAACUAUGCGGGAGCUGGGGAAAGGGCCUUCAAGGACUUUGACCCCUCCUGACCAAUACAAACUCUUUUGACUUAUCGAAUGCAGAACAGUCUGUUUGGACUGCUAUGAGAAACAUAAACAACUUUCAACAACGGAUCUCUUGGCUCUCGCAUCGAUGAAGAACGCAGC